UGUUGUACGUCUUCCUGGUCAUUGAAAUUGAAGUCGCAGCUUGUCUGUGUUGCAUGGUGGCAAUCGACUAAAUGUGUAAGGAUCGUUUGUGCAGUCAUACAUCAAAUAUUGGAACGUUGUUGAGUGCUGAACAUAUGAUGCAUCAUUUAGGAGUAUUUUGGCUGGAUGGUUGCCCGAGUGUCAUAAACCAAAAUAACGGAUGUGGGCUAAGGGAGAACUGAGAUUUCUUUUGACCUGACGGUGGCUGCGGGGUUGCCUUCACUGGUGGAUAGCAGUGGUGUGGUGGUUUGGUCACUUUAUUUUUUCUUCCCUUUAGGCUUGCAGUGUGAUUGCCGUGAGCUUGAUUGCAGUGGGAGCACGGUUGCCAUUUCUGUUUUUUUCACAAUCUAGGUAACCUGUGGCCAUCUGUAGGUCUUGUUUCUUUAUUUUUGAUUGUUUUUGUUUACAUUUUUUCUUUGUGGGUAAUUGCAUUGAAGGUCUGCUAUAUCUGUUUAACAUGUUAAUGUUUGUUUUCUUUGUAACUAUAUUUUCUUUUGAAUAAAAUGUUUGUUUAUUGAAACUUCACUACUGCCUUCUGCCUGCUCAUUUCCCUC